ACACUGUAAAAGAAGUUUUGUCGCUGUGUUCUUGAACUACAUAUCGUAGGAGAGCGAUGUCAGAUGUGUAGACAGUGU
rnacentral:ncRNA from 16 species